rnacentral:rRNA from 1 species
AUCCUGGCUCAGGAUGAACGCUGGCGGCGUGCCUAAUACAUGCAAGUCGAGCGAACGGACGAGAAGCUUGCUUCUCUGAUGUUAGCGGCGGACGGGUGAGUAACACGUGGAUAACCUACCUAUAAGACUGGGAUAACUUCGGGAAACCGGAGCUAAUACCGGAUAAUAUUUUGAACCGCAUGGUUCAAAAGUGAAAGACGGUCUUGCUGUCACUUAUAGAUGGAUCCGCGCUGCAUUAGCUAGUUGGUAAGGUAACGGCUUACCAAGGCAACGAUGCAUAGCCGACCUGAGAGGGUGAUCGGCCACACUGGAACUGAGACACGGUCCAGACUCCUACGGGAGGCAGCAGUAGGGAAUCUUCCGCAAUGGGCGAAAGCCUGACGGAGCAACGCCGCGUGAGUGAUGAAGGUCUUCGGAUCGUAAAACUCUGUUAUUAGGGAAGAACAUAUGUGUAAGUAACUGUGCACAUCUUGACGGUACCUAAUCAGAAAGCCACGGCUAACUACGUGCCAGCAGCCGCGGUAAUACGUAGGUGGCAAGCGUUAUCCGGAAUUAUUGGGCGUAAAGCGCGCGUAGGCGGUUUUUUAAGUCUGAUGUGAAAGCCCACGGCUCAACCGUGGAGGGUCAUUGGAAACUGGAAAACUUGAGUGCAGAAGAGGAAAGUGGAAUUCCAUGUGUAGCGGUGAAAUGCGCAGAGAUAUGGAGGAACACCAGUGGCGAAGGCGACUUUCUGGUCUGUAACUGACGCUGAUGUGCGAAAGCGUGGGGAUCAAACAGGAUUAGAUACCCUGGUAGUCCACGCCGUAAACGAUGAGUGCUAAGUGUUAGGGGGUUUCCGCCCCUUAGUGCUGCAGCUAACGCAUUAAGCACUCCGCCUGGGGAGUACGACCGCAAGGUUGAAACUCAAAGGAAUUGACGGGGACCCGCACAAGCGGUGGAGCAUGUGGUUUAAUUCGAAGCAACGCGAAGAACCUUACCAAAUCUUGACAUCCUUUGACAACUCUAGAGAUAGAGCCUUCCCCUUCGGGGGACAAAGUGACAGGUGGUGCAUGGUUGUCGUCAGCUCGUGUCGUGAGAUGUUGGGUUAAGUCCCGCAACGAGCGCAACCCUUAAGCUUAGUUGCCAUCAUUAAGUUGGGCACUCUAAGUUGACUGCCGGUGACAAACCGGAGGAAGGUGGGGAUGACGUCAAAUCAUCAUGCCCCUUAUGAUUUGGGCUACACACGUGCUACAAUGGACAAUACAAAGGGCAGCGAAACCGCGAGGUCAAGCAAAUCCCAUAAAGUUGUUCUCAGUUCGGAUUGUAGUCUGCAACUCGACUACAUGAAGCUGGAAUCGCUAGUAAUCGUAGAUCAGCAUGCUACGGUGAAUACUUUCCCGGGUCUUGUACACACCGCCCGUCACACCACGAGAGUUUGUAACACCCGAAGCCGGUGGAGUAACCUUUUAGGAGCUAGCCGUCGAAGGUGGGACAGC